UAGACCAACGCGACCAGUCAGUCGUCUCGAUGGCCCCGAGUUGGAGCCCUGUUCGAUUCCAUGCCCUGUUGUCUUGCUGUAGUUUUGGACUGCCGUUUAUAUUGUUAUAGGUUUACUUUAUUGGGAAUUUGACGAGACUAUAAAUAGACUAUUUUAGACGGACAUAGGAAUUAUGGGAUAUUAACUGAAUAGAAAUUAUGGGAUAGAUUUUAACGGUAGCAGACAUUAGUAGUACAAGAACGACUCACUUCUACUCUUAAUGGCGAGACAUCAUCUGUAGUAACUGUCGACAUUUGGACUGUGCCCCUUCAUUUUCAGGAUUAAACAGUUAUCAUCAAUAUUUGGACUUGUCUGUAUCACAGAAAAUAGAAAUGAUUCUCACGGGACCACCGCUACCGUCUCGAAGUUUAACCGGAAGUGCCACAAUGAGAGAUCUGGAUGGCGGAAUUUUGGCGAGAUUGUUGACAUUCUCCAGACCCAUGAUGCUGGCGUUGCACAUGAUCUGAUGAACGUCGUAAACAGACGUCUGGGCGUAGUCUACAGAGGGCGUGUCGACUCCGAUCAUACUGAUGUUUCGAUUCUGUACAAGCCAAGACAUCGCCGAGGGAUGAAACCCUGAAAUGUUUUGUUAAUACAUAUUUAAUGUU